UACGUAGGGAGCAAGCGUUGUUCGGAUUUACUGGGCGUAAAGGGCGCGUAGGCGGCAAUUCAAGUCAUCUGUGAAAUCUCCGGGCUUAACUCGGAACUGUCAGAUGAUACUGCUUUGCUAGAGUGCAGAAGGGGCAAUCGGAAUUCUUGGUGUAGCGGUGAAAUGCGUAGAUAUCAAGAGGAACACCUGAGGUGAAGACGGGUUGCUGGGCUGACACUGACGCUGAGGCGCGAAAGCCAGGGGAGCAAACAGG
rnacentral:rRNA from 1 species